rnacentral:rRNA from 1 species
GGAAGAGUCAAGACUGUACCUGCAGAAGAAGCCCCGUCUAACUACGUCCCAGCAGCCGCGGUAAUACGUAGGGGGCGAGCGUUAUCCGGAUUCAUUGGGUGUAAAGCGCGCGUAGGCGGCCCGGCAGGCCGGGGGUAAAAGCGGGGGGCUCAACCCCCCGAAGCCCCCGGAACCUCCGCGGCUUGGGUCCGGUAGGGGAGGGUGGAACACCCGGUGUAGCGGUGGAAUGCGCAGAUAUCGGGUGGAACACCGGUGGCGAAGGCGGCCCUCUGGGCCGAGACCGACGCUGAGGCGCGAAAGCUGGGGGAGCGAACAGGAUUAGAUACCCUGGUAAGUCCCAGCCGUAAACGAUGGACGCUAGGUGUGGGGGGACGAUCCCCCCGUGCCGCAGCCAACGCAUUAAGCGUCCCGCCUGGGGAGUACGGCCGCAAGGCUAAAACUCAAAGGAAUUGACGGGGGCCCGCACAAGCAGCGGAGCAUGUGGCUUAAUUCGAAGCAACGCGAAGAACCUUUCCAGGGCUUGACAUAUGGGUGAAGCGGGGGAGACCCCGUGGCCGAGAGGAGCCCAUACAGGUGGUGCAUGGCUGUCGUCAGCUCGUGUCGUGAGAUGUUGGGUUAAGUCCCGCAACGAGCGCAACCCCCGCCGCGUGUUGCCAUCGGGUGAUGCCGGGAACCCAUGCGGGACCGCCGCCGUCAAGGCGGAGGAGGGCGGGGGGGAGGUCAAGUCAUCAUGCCCCUUUUGCCGUGGGCUUCACACGUGUUACAAUGGCUGGUGCAGAGGGAAGCAACACAGCGAUGUGAAGCAAAUCCAGAAAAAUCAUUUCAGUUCUGAUGGCAGGGUGCAACUCGCGCGCAUGAAGUGGGAUUUGAUUCUAAUAUGCGGAUAAGCAUGCCCUGGCGAAGCAGUUUCGGG